rnacentral:rRNA from 1 species
UACGUAGGGGGCAAGCGUUGUCCGGAAUCAUUGGGCGUAAAGAGCGUGUAGGCGGCCAGAAAAGUCCGCUGUGAAAACUCGAGGCUCAACUUCGAGCUGUCGGUGGAAACUUUCUGGCUAGAGUCCGGAAGAGGAGAAUGGAAUUCCUGGUGUAGCGGUGAAAUGCGCAGAUAUCAGGAGGAACACCGGUGGCGAAGGCGGGUCUCUGGGCCGUAACUGACGCUGAGGAGCGAAAGCGUGGGGAGCGAACAGG